AGAGUUUGAUCCUGGCUCAGAUUGAACGCUGGCGGCACGCUUAACACAUGCAAGUCGAACGAUGAAGGUUCGUAGUAUUUAUACUAUGGAUUGACAUAGUGGCGAACGGGUGAGUAAUGCGUAGGGACCUGGCCUGAAGAGGGGGACAGCCUUAGGAAACUGGGGUUAAAACCGCAUAAUACUCUGAGGAGGAAAGCUGCCCAGACUAGGAUGCACGGAGAGUGCAUUGUAGUCUGGGUGGUACUUUAGGGAUGGACCUACGUUGGAUUAGCUAGUUGGUAGGGUAAAAGCCUACCAAGGCGAUGAUCCAUAGCUGGUCUGAGAGGACGAUCAGCCACACUGGGACUGAGACACGGCCCAGACUCCUACGGGAGGCAGCAGUGGGGAUUGGACAAUGGGGGCACCCUGAUCAGCGAUGCCGCGUGUGUGAAGAAGGCCUGCGGGUUGUAAAGCACUUUUAAUGGUGAGGAAAGUGAUGCUUUGAAUAGGAGUGUCAUGUGACGUUAGCCAUAGAAUAAGCACCGGCAAACUCUGUGCCAGCAGCCGCGGUAAUACAGAGGGUGCGAGCGUUAAUCGGAAUGACUGGGCGUAAAGGGCACGUAGGCGGCUUAUCAAGUUAGAUGUGAAAUACCAAGGCUUAACCCUUGGGGCGGCAUCUGAGACUGAUGAGCUAGAGUAGAUCAGAGGGGAGCGGAAUUUCCGGUGUAGCGGUGAAAUGCGUAGAUAUCGGAAGGAACACCAGUUGCGAAGGCGGCUCUCUGGGGUGAAACUGACGCUGAGGUGCGAAAGCGUGGGUAGCGAACAGGAUUAGAUACCCUGGUAGUCCACGCAGUAAACGAUGAAGAACUAGCUGUUAGUACGCGACGACGAAUUAGUAGCGCAGCAAACGCGAUAAGUUUUCCGCCUGGGGAUUACGGCCGCAAGGCUAAAACUCAAGAGCGAACUUGACGCGGGGCCCGCACAAGCGGUGGAGCAUGUGGUUUAAUCCGACGCAACGCGAAGAACCUUCCGUGGAUUUGACAUCCCGGGAAUUCUUUCGAAAGAUUGAAGUGCCCUUCGGGGAGCCCGGUGACAGGUGCUGCAUGGCGUCGUCAGCUCGUGUCGUGAGAUGUUGGGUUAAGUCCCGCAACGAGCGCAACCCCUAUCUUUAGUUACCAUCAUUCAGUUGGGGACUCUAAAGAUACUGCCCCGGUCAACGGGGAGGAAGGUGGGGAUGACGUCAAGUCCUCAUGGCCUUUAUGUCCAGGGCUACACACGUGCUACAACGGGCUGUACAAAGGGUUGCAAACUCGCGAGAGUAAGCUAAUCCCAAAAAGCAGUCCGUAGUUCGGAUUGGAGUCUGCAACUCGACUCCAUGAAGCUGGAAUCGCUAGUAAUCGCGGAUCAGCAUGCCGCGGUGAAUACGUUCCCGGGCCUUGUACACACCGCCCGUCACACCAUGAGAGUUGAUUGUACCGGAAGUUGUUGGGCCAACCUUUCUAGGGGGCAGGCACCUAUGGUAUGAUUGAUGAUUGGGGUGAAGUCGUAACAAGGUAGCC
rnacentral:rRNA from 1 species